rnacentral:rRNA from 1 species
GAUGAACGCUAGCUACAGGCUUAACACAUGCAAGUCGAGGGGUAGCAGGGUAGCAAUACCGCUGACGACCGGCGCACGGGUGAGUAACACGUAUCCAACCUUCCCAUAACUCGGGGAUAGCCUUUCGAAAGAAAGAUUAAUACCGGAUGGUACUUUUUCAAGGCAUCUUGAGAAAGUUAAAGAUUUAUUGGUUAUGGAUGGGGAUGGGUUCCAUUAGAUAGGUGGUGAGGUAACGGCUCACCAAGUCUUCGAUGGAUAGGGGUUCUGAGAGGAAGGUCCCCCACAUUGGUACUGAGACACGGACCAAACUCCUACGGGAGGCAGCAGUGAGGAAUAUUGGUCAAUGGGCGAGAGCCUGAACCAGCCAAGUAGCGUGAAGGAUGAAGGUCCUAUGGAUUGUAAACUUCUUUUAUAGUAGAAUAGAGUGAUCCACGUGUGGAUUUUUGUAUGUAUACUAUGAAUAAGGAUCGGCUAACUCCGUGCCAGCCGCCGCAGUAA